rnacentral:rRNA from 1 species
GAUGAACGCUGGCGGCGUGCCUAAUACAUGCAAGUCGAGCGAAUGGAUUAAGAGCUUGCUCUUAUGAAGUUAGCGGCGGACGGGUGAGUAACACGUGGGUAACCUGCCCAUAAGACUGGGAUAACUCCGGGAAACCGGGGCUAAUACCGGAUAACAUUUUGAACCGCAUGGUUCGAAAUUGAAAGGCGACUUCGGCUGUCACUUAUGGAUGGACCCGCGUCGCAUUAGCUAGUUGGGGAGGUAACGGCUCACCAAGGCAACGAUGCGUAGCCGACCUGAGAGGGUGAUCGGCCACACUGGGACUGAGACACGGCCCAGACUCCUACGGGAGGCAGCAGUAGGGAAUCUUCCGCAAUGGACGAAAGUCUGACGGAGCAACGCCGCGUGAGUGAUGAAGGCUUUCAGGUCGUAAAACUCUGUUGUUAGGGAAGAACAAGUGCUAGUUGAGUAAGCUGGCACCUUGACGGUACCUAACCAGAAAGCCACGGCUAACUACGUGCCAGCCGCCGCAGUAA